CACGUAGGGCGCGAGCGUUGUCCGGAAUUAUUGGGCGUAAAGAGCUCGUAGGCGGCCUGUUGCGUCCGCUGUGAAAGCCCGGGGCUUAACCCCGGGUCGGCAGUGGAUACGGGCAGGCUAGAGGUAGGUAGGGGAGAAUGGAAUUCCCGGUGUAGCGGUGAAAUGCGCAGAUAUCGGGAGGAACACCGGUGGCGAAGGCGGUUCUCUGGGCCUUACCUGACGCUGAGGAGCGAAAGCGUGGGGAGCGAACAG
rnacentral:rRNA from 1 species